rnacentral:rRNA from 1 species
UACGGGGGGGGUAAGCGUUGUUCGGAAUUACUGGGCGUAAAGGGCUCGUAGGCGGCCAACUAAGUCAUACGUGAAAUCCCUCAGCUUAACUGGGGAACUGCGUCCGAUACUGGUUGGCUUGAGUUUGGGAGAGGGAUGCGGAAUUCCAGGUGUAGCGGUGAAAUGCGUAGAUAUCUGGAGGAACACCGGUGGCGAAGGCGGCAUCCUGGACCAAUACUGACGCUGAGGAGCGAAAGCCAGGGGAGCAAACGGG